CCACAGAUCCCGGGGUGUCCCCCGAUGAAUCAUCGGAGGGGCUGAGAUAAUACCCGUAAGACCUGAUCAGGGUAAUGCCUGCGCAGGGAGGAGGUUUGACUACUGU
rnacentral:ncRNA from 2 species